GAUGAACGCUGGCGGCGUGCCUAAUACAUGCAAGUCGAGCGAACAGACGAGGAGCUUGCUCCUCUGACGUUAGCGGCGGACGGGUGAGUAACACGUGGAUAACCUACCUAUAAGACUGGGAUAACUUCGGGAAACCGGAGCUAAUACCGGAUAAUAUAUUGAACCGCAUGGUUCAAUAGUGAAAGACGGUUUUGCUGUCACUUAUAGAUGGAUCCGCGCCGCAUUAGCUAGUUGGUAAGGUAACGGCUUACCAAGGCAACUAUGCGUAGCCGACCUGAGAGGGUGAUAGCCGACAUGGGAACUGGGCCACGGUCAAGAGGACUAAGGGAGGCAGCAGUAGGGAAUGUGAGGCAAUGGGCGAAAGCAUGACGGAGCAAGGCGGAGUGAGUGACGGAGGCGUUGGGAGCGGAAAAAUGUGUUAUUAGGGAAAAACAAAUGUGUAAGUAAAUAAGCAGGGAUUGACGGUACUUAAUAAGAAAGCAACGGCUAACUACGUG
rnacentral:rRNA from 1 species